rnacentral:rRNA from 1 species
GAUGAACGCUGGCGGCGUGCCUAAUACAUGCAAGUCGAGCGAACGGACGAGAAGCUUGCUUCUCUGAUGUUAGCGGCGGACGGGUGAGUAACACGUGGAUAACCUACCUAUAAGACUGGGAUAACUUCGGGAAACCGGAGCUAAUACCGGAUAAUAUUUUGAACCGCAUGGUUCAAAAGUAAAAGACGGUCUUGCUGUCACUUAUAGAUGGAUCCGCGCUGCAUUAGCUAUUUGGUAAGGUAACGGCUUACCAAGGCAACGAUGCAUAGCCGACCUGAGAGGGUGAUCGGCCACACUGGAACUGAGACACGGUCCAGACUCCUACGGGAGGCAGCGGUAGGGAAUCUUCCGCAAUGGGCGAAAGCCUGACGGAGCAACGCCGCGUGAGUGAUGAAGGUCUUCGGAUCGUAAAACUCUGUUAUUAGGGAAGAACAUAUGUGUAAGUAACUGUGCACAUCUUGACGGUACCUAAUCAGAAAGCCACGGCUAACUACGUG